CAGCGGUGUUCGCCUGUUUGCGUAUCCGAUUUUAGUACCACGCGUUGACGGGCAAACACCGCUGUUCGCACGUAAAAUGGCCGCGGCCACGUGUAAAGUGCCGAAAUGGCGGCCAUCUAUAUUUUACACAGGGAAUUCGCCUGAAUCCAUCCGAAGGGUAGAAAUGAAAGCUAUAUGCCGAAUUCCAGCUGAGUUUGGUGAAUUAACUGUACAACAAAAGGUAGAAAUCCUGAUUAACGGAGUCAUUUCUUCACAUUCUCUAAUUAGAUCUAAUGGUCCUCGCACCCUUCUCCCAAACAACAACUCAAAAGGGGAAAAUCCUGUUGACUCCUGUGGUACUUCUCUAUAACCGAAGAGCAGAUGGAGUAGAAAUCGCUCCCAGUCCUUAUGGG